UGGGGAAUAUUGCACAAUGGGCGAAAGCCUGAUGCAGCAACGCCGCGUGAGUGAUGAAGGUCUUCGGAUUGUAAAGCUCUGUCUUUUGGGACGAUAAUGGCGGUACCAAAGGAGGAAGCCACGGCUAACUACGUGCCAGCAGCCGCGGUAAUACGUAGGUGGCGAGCGUUGUCCGGAUUUACUGGGCGUAAAGGGUGCGUAGGCGGAUGUUUAAGUGAGAUGUGAAAUACCCGGGCUUAACUUGGGUGCUGCAUUUCAAACUGGAUAUCUAGAGUGCAGGAGAGGAGAAUGGAAUUCCUAGUGUAGCGGUGAAAUGCGUAGAGAUUAGGAAGAACACCAGUGGCGAGGGCGAUUCUCUGGACUGUAACUGACGCUGAGGCACGAAAGCGUGGGUAGCAAACAGGAUUAGAUACCCUGGUAGUCCACGCCGUAAACGAUGAGUACUAGGUGUAGGAGGUAUCGACCCCUUCUGUGCCGCAGUAAACACAUUAAGUACUCCGCCUGGGAAGUAC
rnacentral:rRNA from 1 species